CUGACGCGAAAAUGCUGCGUGAAAUCGCUGCGGUCGGCAGCCGCCCUCCCUGGGGAGCAGCUUCCCUGGAGCGCAGCGCAGCGGUCACGAGGGCUGCAGCUCUGCCCCAGGGAAGCGUUUGGGAGGUUUCAGCGUUUCCUCCCGUCUGGGGCUCGGACAGACACGCUUUCCUGGGCUCCAGGGGUCUCACCUGGCUGGGUACAAGAUCAUCAAGGACUCCUGUUAACCAUGAGUUGCCUUCCACCCAAAGGCAUAGAGGAUGGCGCCAAUUCGACAUGGCUCCCGCUGCCCCAGGAACCCAGCUUUUGAGACACCACAAUGGGACCAGUGACAGUCUUCACUGCAGUGACCAGAAUCAGCCUGGCCGCGGGACGUGCUCGUCUCAUCCCUGCUGGCUCCCGCCGGCGCGCUGGGCUCCGCUGACCCACACGGAAGCUGAUCGCCGGUCUCGGAGGUGUGAGACCUCAUCCUUCCCUGGGAUUUCCGCAGACGCGUGGCCUGCCGCAGAGACGUUUCCCCGAGACCCUCGGUGGGCGGGAGCCGGGACGGCGGGGGGACCGUCGCCUGCUGCUCUGUGCCCGACCCUGCGCCGGGCGGGUGCUGUCACGCCAAAUGCCGACGCUGCCGCUUGUUAGCUGGGUUAAAGAGGCAGCUGAAUGCGUUAGUGCUUUGUCUGCCUCCAUCUCUCAGUAAUUUCCUUUCCCUGUCUCCUGCUGCUUUAUGUGUUAAUGCUUGUUACGUUCCCUGAGCAUCCCAGAAAUGCCUUAACCCAUCUCUUUCACAGAAAUGUAAUUAGGACAAAUGCUUUCUGCUUUUAUGUCUGCCAAAGGACUUGCUGAUUAUUAUGAUUCCUUAUCAGGUGUAUCCCAGCGGUCCCAGCUAAGGCUCCGGUUCCCUGGUGCCGGGCAGGGAAGAGAUGCUUGGUUAGGAGGCAGGCCCUGCCCAGAGGACAAAUGCUCGUGCUAGAAAAAGGCAGCGAUAGGGCAGACGGGCAAAGAGGCAUCGGANNNNNNNNNNNNNNNNNNNNNNNNAGGGGAAAAGAGGGAGCCCAGGGAACGUAACCAGCCGAACGGUACAGAGAUCCCUGUCUCGCUUUACUCACGCUGUGACGUGGCUAAAGACACCUACCAAAUCCUGUUAGGUUCCCUGCUUGAAAGUGAAAUUACAAAAUGAAUCACUUGAGCUCAUCCUCUUAUCUCUCGUUCAUAGGUGCGGGCGUGCAUGCAUCCAUACAUGCUUUCAAAGGAAGAAUAAUUAUCGUGGAGAUAAAGCUUUCAUUAUUUUUAAUAGCAUCAGGUCCACCCGUUGAGUUAUUACAGUAAUAAAAACUAAUUAGAUCCCUGGUGAUAUGUUCCC
rnacentral:lncRNA from 1 species